ACACCGGCAGCUCGAGUGGUAGCUGUUUUUAUUGGGCCUAAAGCGUUCGUAGCCGGUUUGAUAAGUCUUUGGUGAAAGCUUGUAGCUUAACUAUAAGAAUUGCUGGAGAUACUAUCAGACUUGAAGUCGGGAGAGGUUAGAGGUACUACCGGGGUAGGGGUGAAAUCCUAUAAUCCUGGGAGGACCACCUGUGGCGAAGGCGUCUAACUGGAACGAUCUUGACGGUGAGUAACGAAAGCCAGGGGCGCGAACCGGAUUAGAUACCCGGGUAGUCCUGGCCGUAAACGAUGUGGACUUGGUGUUGGAAUGGCUUUGAGUUGUUCCGGUGCCGAAGGGAAGCUGUUAAGUCCACCGCCUGGGAAGUACGGUCGCAAGACUGAAACUUAAAUGAAUUGGCGGGG
rnacentral:rRNA from 1 species